UGCGGAAAUUUAGUUGCAAACUAAACGUCGUCUAGGCAAAAGCACCCUCUACAAAAAAUAAAUCUGAGAAAAUAUAUACAGAAAUCGAGCGUCCGACCCGUGUAGUAUUUUGUGUUUUUCUUUUCGUUUUUUGGCAACAAUUUCUAUUCGAAACGUGUAUAAUUGUAUGUGUAUUUGAUGAGAGUGUAUUAGAGAAACAGUGGUAAUUAAAAUAAGCAUGAAAUUAUAAAAUAUGCCCUAAAGAUAAACACAGCUAAACCAAAAAAAAAAA